rnacentral:tRNA from 1 species
GGAGUUGUGGCUCAGUGAUAGAGCACUUGCCUAGCAUGUGUGAGGCACUGAGUUCGAUCCUCAGUACCA